UUUCGCAAUGCCCGAAAGGGUGACGAAGCGACGCCGCGUGCGGGAAGAAGGCCUUCGGGUUGUAAACCGCUAUCGGGAGUUAAGAAAUGUAAGGAUGUUAAUAGCAUCCUUGCUUGACUAAGGCUCCGGAGGAAGCCACGGCUAACUCUGUGCCAGCAGCCGCGGUAAUACAGAGGCGGCAAGCGUUGUUCGGAAUUAUUGGGCGUAAAGAGCACGUAGGCGGCUAUGUAAGUCGGUUGUGAAAGCCUUCCGCUCAACGGGAGAACAGCAUCCGAUACUGCAUGGCUUGAGUGCGGGAGGGGAGAGUGGAACUUCUGGUGGAGCGGUGAAAUGCGUAGAUAUCAGAAGGAACGCCGGCGGCGAAAGCGGCUCUCUGGCCCAUAACUGACGCUGAGUGUGCGAAAGCUAGGGGAGCAAACGGGAUUAGAUACCCCGGUAGUCCUAGCCGUAAACGAUGGGCACUAAGUAGAGGGGUUUU
rnacentral:rRNA from 1 species